CACCAGGAAACAUGAAUAAUAAACCAUUUCAACAAUAACUACAAAUAAAUAUCGUUAUUGUGACCCAGGAAACAGUUUUGGGGAUGGAAAUUGGGAAACAUGAGAAACUGAGUACGACAAUCUGGCAACGUUGUACAAUAAUCCCAGCCAUCAGCUGUUCAGUGUUUGUUUACCUCGCGCGGGGGAGAGAGGAAGGGACGCUGUGCUCCGUGCUUCCCUUGUUAUCCUUGCUAUCCACGUGCCCCCCCUUGUUAUCCUCGUGCUCCCGGCCUUGUAGCGGUGCCGUGGCGGGGCGUGUAGGCGUUGACAUCACUCACGGUCAUCGGCACUGCCCAUACACUCAGUCCACCCUGGCGGGGACCUCACCAAUGACCUCCAUGAAAACAGGGUCCCAGACAAGCCAGUUGGUCUGAAGGCCGUGGCGCUGACUGACCACAUCAGGGUGUGCUGGCAGCCCCCCGCACAGCACAAUGUGCUGCUGUGCGGCUACACCAUUGCCUGGGACCAAGGCGUGGCGGACAUCUGCUCCAAGAUCGUGGACAGCAAGCAGCACGGUUACUUCAUUGAUAAGCUGGAACCCAACAUGGAGUUUGUGAUAAGCCUGCGAGCCUUCAACAACGUGGGUGACGGGCAACCGGUGUACCAGCAAGUCCGCACCCAGCCAGAGGAGGAGGAGGUGGCACCCACGCUGGACCCGGCGGUGUGGGUGAAGGCC